rnacentral:lncRNA from 1 species
GAACUACUUUUUUUUUCCCCCAUCAUUUUUCAUUUUUUUUUCUUUUUGGGGCUGUACCCACUGCAUAUGGAAGUUCCCAGGCCAGGGGUCGAAUCGGAGCUACAGCUACUGGCCUACACCAAAGGUCACAGCCACAGUAACAUGGGAUCUGAGCCGCAUCUGCGACCUGCACCACAGAUCAUGGCAAUGCUGGAUCCCAAAUCCACUGAGAAAGGCCAGGGAUUGAACCUGAAACCUCAUGGAUCUUAUUCAGAUUCAUUUCCACUGAGCCACAAUGGGAACUCCCCAUAGAGCACUUUUAAAGUCAGCUUUUGAUUAUAUUCAUUUCAUUGGAUAGCAAAAGCUGAUAGGCUAGCUAUUUUGAGAAUAUCUAUAGGAGCAAGAAUAGUGAUCCAGGUAUUUGCUUUUGCUAUAGUGUUCCCUCUACCUCAACUACAUCAUAAUGAUGUAUGUAUUGAAAUAAUUAUGGUUAGUCAGGCUAUUAAAAUAAAGUAACAUAUUGGAAAAUAUAAUGUAUGGUAACUCCAGCCAGUGUUCCACUUGCACACCUGAUUCUCAGGAGCCAUUUCUUCUUUUGAAGGGUAGCAGCUACACUGUAACUACUCGAGUAACAAUGCCCUGUAAAAGUGAUGAGAAUGGGAAACUGGGCAUAAUCCUGCACUGAGAAGCCAACUGGAAUGCCAGAUGAUAAAUCACGAACUCUGAUCAUGUUGCUUCAGACUUAUAAAUGAAGCACAAAUUAAAAUGUUAGCCUGAUGUACUUUCACAAGGACUCUCUUUGGGGAUAACUAGUCUAUGGAAAGAACACUUGACAUUCUUUUUUUGUAAUAUUAGACCAAAGUGUGGGAUAAUGAAAAUGGAAAUACCUUAUGCAAUGUUAAUAAUCCUUAUACACAGAGGAUUCUGUUGAGGCUAGUAACUAAAUAAGAUUAGGCUUGCAUCAAGAUUGGGCCUGAGAGAAAUUACCAGGUCUGGGUUGCAGACUAGAACAGUUGAGUUAGUUCUAACACAGGCUUACUGGUAGGUUAGCCACAGUACUCUUAGCACUGUUUCUUCCUCUCUGAGGCUGCAAUAAGAAGAUGAAUUUUUACAAGGAAGUACUUCCAGAAAGGCACAGGAAGGUCUGGGUAGAUAAAUAACAUAUAUAUCUAGAGAAUAGAAGCUAGAGGAAGAAAAUGAAAAUGCACAAUGAUUUAAAAACUGUAGACACAUUAAACUUAACUCAUACUUUACCAUCCAGGUUAUCUCUAUCUCAGUCUCUAUUUCUAUAUAAUUCUCAUUGAACUUUCCCCAUCCAUUCUAGGAAGAACAGGAAGGAUAAAGAAUGGGUUCAUUCUCUGGUAGAUGAGAUGUGAGGUUCAGCAAGGUCAAGUGACUUGUCUUGAUAACAUAGACAACAACUGCAAGAGCAGCA